UACGUAGGGUGCAAGCGUUACUCGGAAUUACUGGGCGUAAAGCGUGCGCAGGCGGUUUGCUAAGACCGAUGUGAAAUCCCCGGGCUUAACCUGGGAACUGCAUUGGUGACUGGCAAGCUAGAGUGUGGCAGAGGGGGGUAGAAUUCCACGUGUAGCAGUGAAAUGCGUAGAGAUGUGGAGGAAUACCGAUGGCGAAGGCAGCCCCCUGGGCCAACACUGACGCUCAUGCACGAAAGCGUGGGGAGCAAACAGG
rnacentral:rRNA from 1 species